AUACAUAAUCAGGAACAUAAUGAAUAGCAAACAAAAUGUCGUAGCGAAGGUUCAGUUAAAUUUAUAUAAGUUUAACAAUGUGUUUCGUGCAAUCAAAAUUACGCCAUCCACCCGUUCUAUUCUGGAAUAUAUCUUUAUCACUCUAGUACGAUCUCUAAAGCCGAAUCUGUCGAAUGAUCUACCAGUGUAUCAUCUCUCAUUUGGUAAUCUAAAAAAUCCACAACCAAUUUUUUUUGCUCAUAUAUUUCUAAAAAAAAUUAAUGCGAACUUUCCGUAAUGGUACAAAACAUUCCAAUACAUAUGAAACUACACAUUCUCCCGAACGCAAAAAGGGUAUGCGGUAGCGAAAUAGAGUUCCUUUAUUGAUAAAAUAUCGCUUCGUGCAAUUGGCCAACUUCAUGAAAAUAUUCAAUUCAAUUUGCUAACAAAUUUGCUUGCCAUUUCGCUGUGCAUUACCUCCGUUUUUCUCAAAUAGAAUCUUCUCGAUGCAUUUUUAAUCUGAUUUUACUAGAGUUUCGUCCAGAUCCCUUGAGUCACAUUAAAACGAAUCCUAUCGGAAACAAUGCACUUGGACCGACUUCCAUUACGACUGUUUAUUUUUAUUACUUGAUUCGAUUUUAAGAAAACUAAUAAUUCUACAGUUCUUGGUCGAUUUACCGAUACCGAGGCAACAAACAAUAGUCAAACCGUGCUGAGGCACUUACGUUUACUCACAGUGCACUCAGCCACUAAUGCGAUGGGCCCAAACAUGGCACAAAAAAACGUUUUGCCCUUUUGCAGCAAAUGAAUAGAAAAAUCCUGCUCAAGUAGAUUGACAUGUCAGCGCCACGGUUGCCGCAUUCCCCGUAGCUACUGUACGACACACUUUGGACAUUUUUGCUCUCAGCAGGAACGGACGGCCAUUUCAAUUUACAUCGUGUGCCGUGCCAUUUCUUAAUGCUUUUGCUUUCCUAUUAAGCAGCAAUAUCAAGUUCAUGCUAAAACAAGAAGAUGCACCGAUAAGAGAAUUAUGUGUGCGGUUGAUGGGAAACAAAACGAUCGUUUUUGUGCUAUUUCGAUGAUGGAAAAGUGCCAUUUUGUGCAAUCUCGCAGCGGUCGCAAAUGGAUCGAAUGAUUUUGCUGUUUCAAGGGUGUUGUUUAUGUUUUUCCUCCGCCUUACGGUAAGAAAUGACGGUGGGGAAGGAUUUAAUACUAUUUUCCACUACUUGUGGGCGAAUUAUAAAUACCGUAAUGCAUGCUGCGGUAAACCAUCAGUACUCGAACGGAUCGCUACUGCAGCGGUAAUCCAUUUUGGGUUGGAAAGGAAUCAACAAAAGUUUAUUGGUUUAAGUAACUAUUUAGAAGGGGUGACGCAAGAGAAGAGCUGGUGAACAACUUUAAUCGCUUUUUUUUUGGAGUUUCUAAAUAAAAUCACACCUUCUCAAUCGAAAACGAUGAAAUCGACCAUCCUGGUAGUGUUGGAGUUGGCGUUUUUCCUACUUCCCGGACGAGUCCUGUACGCCCAGAAGGAUAACGGUAAGUAAUGACGAAACUUCACCCCCUUCCCGUAACCCGUAACCUCGGUGCGCUAAACUUUUGUCCCUUCCCUAUUAUGUACCACCGAAUAAAACGAUAUGGGCGCACAGCAAGGAUACGGGAAGGUGAGAAAGGGUUGUAAUAUAUACUCACACAACAAAAGCAAACAAAGUGCAAAGAAGAAGCAAGAAGGGGGGCAAAAAAAAUUACAGCAAGUCCUCUGAUAAACCAAAGCGCCGAGACCGAAAUGAAGCCCUGUGGCCUUCAGGUUGGCUAAUGUGGUGCUGAAUUUAUGGUUCCCCCUUCACCAUCCAUCCCCUCUCCUAUUUAUGCUUCACCGCUUUUACCAAGUCCGGUUAAAGCGGUGGUGUAGGGUGGUUGGGGCUGGACCCUCUAUUUUACAGAAAGAUUGGUUUAUUCAGUUGGGUUUGGUCGGUUCAGAAGGUGGUCGGUACGUUAGAGAGUUUGGUUUGUCCGGGUGCAACUUGGUAAGUGACUCUGGUGGAUAUGAAUAUCCUGGUUACUAUGGUUGAUUUUACAGCAGCAUACAACCGAGCGGGUAAGUAGGCGAGGAUCAUUCCCUUUUUUAUACCCCGUAGAAGUUAUCAUAGCAGGCGAUGCAAGGCAGCAGGAAGAAGGUACGUACCGUUAAUUGCAUAUUAUGACUUAUUUAUAUCAAAAUGAAAAUUAUAGCAAAAAAAAAAGAAACUACCCGAAACAUUACACGAGAAAAUGGAAAGCACUAGUUAGCAGCGUUUAUUCUACCUUCCCGUUUUUGUUGUUUUUUUUUUGACUUGUCUGCUAACCAAAUCCGUUUAAAUGUAACACCUGCAUGACUUUAGAGCAUAUGCUAUCAUUACAUGAAGCUUUUCUGUUUUUUGCUGUAAGUAGUAUGUGGGUGAGUGUGUGUUUAAUGUUUAAUAAAGCUUCCUUAAUUAGUAUAAUCACAUUGAUGGUGCUCGAUUUUGAUGAAUUCAUACUAAUUUCACCUCUUUGCUACAUUCGUCCCAUUCCACUCCCUUAUAUCCAUGAUGUGCAUGAUUUCCCGCUCCUCC